GGGACUACAGGCGCCCGCCACCAUGCACGGCUAAUUUUUUGUGUUUUCAGUAGGACAGGGUUUCACCGUAUGAACCAGGAUCUCCUGACUUCGUGAUCCGCCCACCUCGGCCUCCCAACGGGCUGGAAUUACUGAUACUGUUGUGGCUGUUCUAGGCAGUUUGUUUUUCCAUAUUGAAACAAAGAAACUUGCUGAGAUUUUUAUUGUAAUUACUUUGUCUGCAUAUUGAUUUGGAAUUAACUUUGGAAUAAUAUUGGAUAUUACAAGCCAUGGAUAUAAUUAACAGAAACAUAUUACAUACCCCUGAAAUCGACCAUGCAAGAAACAAUAUAAAAUUAAGACACCUCGGAUUGCUGCUCAUAAAAUGUUACAAUGUCAUUGCUACAUGAAGAGAAGAUCAAGAGAAUUCAGCCAGAAGACUGUAGAAACAAAGUCAUGAAUCAUGCUGUCCUUGGAUAACCCGGUGUCACCCAGAAUCUCUGUAUCCCUUGGAAAUGUAGACUUUCUCCAACCGCCUCUCCCUCCUUGGUGGCUUCUCUGCCUGGACAGACUUGUCUUUGUAUUAGUAGUGUCACUUUACCUCCUACUACUCAGGAACAGACCAGCCAGUCCCAUGACAAAUUUCCACAAAAUGCCAUGUAUCUUGUAAAUUUAAUGAAUCACUUUGGGAAAAGGUGGGACACAGAGAGCUUAAUGUAAAAAAACCCAUUUUUUUGGUCAGAGUGCUGAAAAAAAUAGAACUUCUUUAACAGGUUCUGAGUAGAAACAUAGCUCAAUGAAGAAAUAAAAGCACCUACUGUUUGAAAGUCCUGCUGUUAAAGUCUUACUUUUCUUCAUUACACCGGGCAUAGUGGGAAGAAAUCUGCUUCUGUUUCACUCAGGGAUAUUGUUCUGGAAUCACAGCUUUUCAGACAGGCUUCCUGUGGAUUACCAUGAGGCUAGCCCUAAAUGUUUAUAAGGGACUCCCUUGCCUAUUUCUCCCCUUGUAUCCAUCUUCAUUGUGAUUUCCUCCUAGGUCAUAAUUUGGCUCAAGGUCCUGAUUAGUUUCAAGUGGGUAAAAUGACCUAUUAUCAGAUAUGAAUCGAGGGGAAACAGAAGAAGGGCCUGUUUGGUUGGCUCUGCAGUUCAGAGCAAUGGAAGACUUUCUUUCUGUGGUAUCCAGGAGUUUGGCAGUGAC
rnacentral:lncRNA from 1 species